UCUAGAAUAUCCUAAAAAGGCAGGAAGCAAGUUAUGUCCAUUGUUUUGCAACCUCACAGGGUCUUGUGUACUUGACAAGUGUACAUUUAUUACACGCGUCAACUUGUUGUGGUACCCUCUUUUUUUCCUUGCUUUCACAUUGUGUGUAUCUAGUACUGGUCAACCUCAGCGGCUCAUCCUGCUCCAGCCCUAACAAACUAUGCCAUUGAAGGAGCAGGAGCAGAAGCGUGGUCCACUGUUUCUUCUUCCCUCCAUUCCAGCUCACUCCAUCAACACUUACCCGCCAUGUCCAUUGAAGCAGCGUCAAAUCAGGAUCCUUAUAUACUGUCAUGUCUUUUUUAGUUCUAUAGGAUUUGGAAUGAAUUCAGAUUUUUCACCUGUUAUCUUGUUGCCAUUUUUUAAUGUUCUUAUGGUGUGAGCUCAAUUAUAUACAACUAGCAAAAGCACGAUUUUCAAACUUGAGUUAUGCAAAAACUUUAUCAAGGACGAUGAUGAUGAAUGAUGGAAUAGCAAAAGCAGUGGUCUUUUUGUUCCCUUUUUCACCUUUUUAACUUUCUUCUGUUUUUAUAUUUUCUUCAUUGUCAAUGGAAGUAAUCGUUGCCUUUUGGUUGUGCA